GUACUCGCUUCAGCAGCACCUGUACUAAAAUUGGAACGAUACAGAGAAGAUUAGCAUGGCUCCUGCACAAGGAUGACACGCAAAUUCGUGAAGCAUUCCAUAUUUUU
ensembl:snRNA U6 U6 spliceosomal RNA